GUUAUCCGGAAUCAUUGGGCGUAAAGCGCCUGUAGGUUGUUUAAUAAGUCCGUUGUUAAAGACUAGGGCUUAACCCUAGGAAAGCGAUGGAAACUGAUAGACUUGAGUAUGGCAGGGGUAGAGGGAAUUUCUAGUGUAGCGGUGAAAUGCGUAGAUAUUAGAAAGAACACCGGUGGCGAAAGCGCUCUACUGGACCAUUACUGACACUGAGAGGCGAAAGCUAGGGGAGCGAAAGGGAUUAGAUACCCCUGUAGUCCUAGCCGUAAACGAUGGAUACUAGAUGUUGUGCAAUUUGGACAGUAUCGUAGCUAACGCGUUAAGUAUCCCGCCUGGGGAGUACGCUCGCAAGGGUGAAACUCAAAGGAAUUGACGGGGGCCCGCACAAGCGGUGGAGCAUGUGGUUUAAUUCGAUGCAACGCGAAGAACCUUACCAGGGCUUGACAUACUACAGAUCUUUUUGAGAAAGAAGAGUGCCUUCGGGAAUGUAGAUACAGGUGGUGCAUGGCUGUCGUCAGCUCGUGUCGUGAGAUGUUGGGUUAAGUCCCCGCAACGAGCGCAACCCUCGUUUUUAGUUGCCAAUUUAUUGGGAUCUCUAGAAAGACUGCCCGGUGACAAACCGGAGGAAGGUGAGGAUGACGUCAAGUCAGCAUGCCCCUUAUGUCCUGGGCCACACACGUGCUACAAUGGUAAAGACAAAGAGUCGCCAAUUCGCGAGAAUGAGCUAAUCUCAUAAACUUUAUCUAAGUUCGGAUUGUA
rnacentral:rRNA from 1 species